UUUUUCCGUAGGUGAACCUGCGGAGGGAUCAUUACACAAAUAUGAAGGCGGGCUGGAACCUCUCGGGGUUACAGCCUUGCUGAAUUAUUCACCCUUGUCUUUUGCGUACUUCUUGUUUCCUUGGUGGGUUCGCCCACCACUAGGACAAACAUAAACCUUUUGUAAUUGCAAUCAGCGUCAGUAACAAAUUAAUAAUUACAACUUUCAACAACGGAUCUCUUGGUUCUGGCAUCGAUGAAGAACGCAGCGAAAUGCGAUAAGUAGUGUGAAUUGCAGAAUUCAGUGAAUCAUCGAAUCUUUGAACGCACAUUGCGCCCUUUGGUAUUCCAAAGGGCAUGCCUGUUCGAGCGUCAUUUGUACCCUCAAGCUUUGCUUGGUGUUGGGCGUCUUGUCUCUAGCUUUGCUGGAGACUCGCCUUAAAGUAAUUGGCAGCCGGCCUACUGGUUUCGGAGCGCAGCACAAGUCGCACUCUCUAUCAGCAAAGGUCUAGCAUCCAUUAAGCCUUUUUUUCAACUUUGACCUCGGAUCAGGUACGAUGCCCGAUUU
rnacentral:rRNA from 1 species